GACGAACGCUGGCGGCGUGCCUAAUACAUGCAAGUCGAGCGGACGAUUCGAAAGCUUGCUUUUGAAUCGUUAGCGGCGGACGGGUGAGUAACACGUGGGCAACCUGCCCUGUAGACGGGGAUAACACCGAGAAAUCGGUGCUAAUACCGGAUAACACGAAAUGUCGCAUGACGUUUCGUUGAAAGGCGGCGCAAGCUGCCGCUACAGGAUGGGCCCGCGGCGCAUUAGCUAGUUGGUGAGGUAACGGCUCACCAAGGCGACGAUGCGUAGCCGACCUGAGAGGGUGAUCGGCCACACUGGGACUGAGACACGGCCCAGACUCCUACGGGAGGCAGCAGUAGGGAAUCUUCCGCAAUGGACGAAAGUCUGACGGAGCAACGCCGCGUGAGCGAAGAAGGCCUUCGGGUCGUAAAGCUCUGUUGUUAGGGAAGGACAAGUAACGUAGUAACUGACGUUACUAUGACGGUACCUAACGAGAAAGCCACGGCUAACUACGUG
rnacentral:rRNA from 1 species